CCCUUAGAUGUUCUGGGCCGCACGCGUGCUACACUGAGUGGAUCAGCGGGUCAGGUUACGCGAGAGCGUUUCCUAAUCUUCAAAUCCGCUCGUGAUGGGGAUUGACGGUUGCAAUUUUCCGUCAUGAACGAGGAAUACCUUGUAAGCGCGGGUCAUCAUCCCGCGCUGAAUACGUCCCUGCCCUUUGUACACACCGCCCGUCGCUCCUGCCGAUUGAGUGGUCCGGUGAGGCUUUGGGAUCUAAGCGAAAAGAGCGUUUCGCUCCUUUUGCUGGGAGAACUCAGUCGAACCUUAUCAUUUAGAGGAAGGAGAAGUCGUAACA
rnacentral:rRNA from 1 species